rnacentral:lncRNA from 1 species
AAAAGUCAAAUUUCUUUUGCAAAUGCCUUGCCCUUUAUUCUCACUUCCUUCCCCAAAAGAAAACUUUACAAAAUUAUGAGGAUCUUUAAGGUGUUUGCUCUUUGUUUCUGUUUUACUUCUUUAAAUAAUUAGUUACCAAACAAGCAAGUGAUGGUCUGUUAGGUUAUCAGGUUAUCCCUGCCUUCUUGGUGGACUUACAGCCGUUACUCAGCCUGUGUCUCAUAAGCUUUCUUGUUGAUAGUCUUUGUCCAGAAAGAUCCCAGCCAUGGUGACCAGCCAAUACUCUUCUUGCAUUCCACAGUGGCAUGUACCUCUAAUGUUUACAUUUUUAUGUAUAGAAAAAUGAGUGUGAUAUAACCAUGAUGAAGUAUAACUUUCCUGUGACUUAGAAUCUAAAAGCAGAAAAGUGGAAUCAUGUGGUCUUUAAAAAAAAAUCUCUACUUUAUAGUCACCUAGAAACCAAAGCCUAUUGAUACUCAGUUACUCAAUUUAGACUUAUGAUAAUGCUUAAAUAAAACCCAAAGCAAAAAUUACUCAACAGACAUUAUUCUUACAUACAUGUUAUUCUCCUUUGAAAACAAUAAAGCAGAGAAUUGGGAAAACUUUAAUGAUAAUUGAGUUUGUAAGUACCACAGAUAAACUUAUGAAAUAUUUGCUUUCCCCACACUGUUAGAUUUCAUAUAAGGAAACUGCCUGUUAAUUAUUAUGAUCUACCUUUUGUCCCUCGUUUGGAUAAGUAAGAAAGCCAUUGUAAUCUUACAUACUGAUUCAUGGUUCUAAAUAUAAGAGAACCUUUCUCAUAUAAAAACAAACAAACAAACAAACAAAAGAAACCACCAGCACAGUGGAAUUGGGGGUCACAAGUUCAGGGCAUGACUGGCUUACAUAAAGACCCUGUCUCAGAAAACUUAGGACUGGGGACAUAGCUCAGUGGUAGAUUACUCUAUAGAACGUGCAAGUGUUUGCAUAGUGUUUGAUCACCAGUAUGGGAAAAGGAAAUGAGAAAAAAGAUAUAACACAGUGUGAUAUAUUAGAAGCCAUCAAAACUCAGGAUUUCUAAAUCUUUGGUGCCAUAAAGAUGAGUUUACUGGUAGGUGGUGUUGUACUUAGCUAACGGAGUUAUUACAAAAUUUACUUGGUCCAUAGAACACUCAAACAUUUUAAGCAUAUGAAACGCAGAACAUGAAAGGAUUUUUUAAUGGAGCUCUUUCUCUCCCAGCAUACCUCUUACUAGUGUGUUCCUAUCCUUGUCCAUUGUCUUUCUGCUCACCCCUGCCACCCCUCAUGCCCUACCGUCUUCAUGUGACUCGCUCAUACUCCAUCCUUCGCUCCCUUCCUGGCUUCCUCCUCUUUUCUCCUUUCUUUAUUAGCUUGUCAGCAUUGGCAUUUUUAAGCUCUCUCAAGCUGCUCAGAAACUCAUGUGCUGUCCCAUAAGCACUCAAGCAGUACCCCACAGAAUGCAUAGGAAUUGAUUUCCCCCUCCCCAUUUGGCUCACUGGGAAAUUAGCCCAAAAGGAAGAAUGUUAAAAUGUGGCAGAUAAAAUUUGUAGGUAACAGACACAGAGAACUUGGAAGCACUAGAGUUAAAUCACUCUCCCUUUCUGUAUAUUUUUCUUAGUGGUGCUGUUUUGGUUUUAUAUUGUUUUGCUAAGAGUUCUAGUUUCUUCUCAUAAAGGAUUAUACCCUACUGUUUUGUUCUGGGCCUUUUUAUUUAUUUAUUUUUUAAGUUGUGUGAUUUGGAGCAAGUUUCCAGACCACUUAGCAACUUGCCCAUCUGAAAAACAGAUUCCCUGUACAUCCCAGGCUGGCCUGGAACUUGGGAUUUCCCUACCAGUACCUGCCAAGUGCUGGGAUUAUAAGCAGGAACCACUAUACCUGGCUUCCUUCUUUGGUCUUUUGGCUCAACAAUGCCUUUGUUAGAUAAUCAUUAAAAAUAAUCCUUGACGGAAAGAGAUAAUAUGACUGUCUGUAGCCCAGUUAGUUGUGUUCAGGCUAGGAAAGCAAACUUUAAUGAUUAAAAUGUGAUUAGAGUGCUAAGAAAGAUGGCAGGGAGACAAGAGGGUGGCAAGGUCAAGACCAUCGUGCUGAUCUUCUCAGCAUAUAAAUCUUAGGAUUCAGUCCACCAGUCAUUAACAGUCUGCUCCAUAUGAGACAUACCAACAUUCCCUAGCAACCAGUCCAAAUCUGACAGAAAUUAAACACUGGAGAGGUUAUUCCUAGUAAGAGAAAAAUAUCAGAUGUAAUAAUAUUCAGGAGUCUAAGGCAGAAGGUCAUGGGUUCGAGGUCAUCUAUAUAGCAAGAUAUUCUUUAAAAUAAAAAAGUCAAUGACAGAACUUACAAAGUCAAGUAGCUGGGGCUACCAAUAUGACUCAGGUGGUGGAUGGGGCAUGCCUUUUAUCCCGGCACUUGGAGACAGAGGCAGGCAGAUCUCUGUAAAUUGAGACCAGCCUGGACUACAGAGCUAGUUCCAGGACACCCAAGACCACACAGAGAAACCCCGUCUUU